rnacentral:rRNA from 1 species
AGUGAACGCUGGCGGCGUGCCUAAUACAUGCAAGUCGAACGGAGUGGCGCACGGGUGAGUAAUAUAUAGCUAAUUUGCCCCUUGCUGGAGGACAACAGUUAGAAAUGACUGCUAAUACUCCAUAGCAAGGGAUGAGCCUAUAUCGUAUCAGCUAGUCGGUGGGGUAACGGCCUACCGAGGCUAUGACGCGUAACUGGUCUGAGAGGAUGAUCAGUAGAAUUGGAACUGAGGCACCGGCGGGGCACCUUCGGGAGGCAGCAGUAGCGGAUAGUGCGCAAUGGGCGGAACCCAGAAGCGGCAACGCGGCGUGGAGGAUGACAAUUUUCGGAGCGUAAAAUCCUUUUGUUAGGGAAGCGGUACCUAACGAAGAAGCACCGGCUAACUCCGUGCCAGCAGCCGCGGUAAUUC